GAUGAACGCUGGCGGCGUGCCUAAUACAUGCAAGUCGAGCGAACAGACGAGGAGCUUGCUCCUCUGACGUUAGCGGCGGACGGGUGAGUAACACGUGGAUAACCUACCUAUAAGACUGGGAUAACUUCGGGAAACCGGAGCUAAUACCGGAUAAUAUAUUGAACCGCAUGGUUCAAUAGUGAAAGACGGUUUUGCUGUCACUUAUAGAUGGAUCCGCGCCGCAUUAGCUAGUUGGUAAGGUAACGGCUUACCAAGGCAACGAUGCGUAGCCGACCUGAGAGGGUGAUCAGCCACACUGGAACUGAGACACGGUCCAGACUCCUACGGGAGGCAGCAGUAGGGAAUCUUGCGCAAUGGGCGAAAGCCUGACGGAGCAACGCCGCGUGAGUGAUGAAGGUCUUCGGAUUGUAAAACUCUGUUAUUAGGGAAGAAAAAAAGUGUAAGUAACUAUGCACGUCUUGACGGUACCUAAUCAGAAAGCCACGGCUAACUACGUG
rnacentral:rRNA from 1 species